UAGUCGCAGUCUCCCACCUUCUGGGUCACGAGCCGGGACUGGCGCAGCCGCUCCUCGGCACUCAUCGUCAGCAGACGCUGCUUCAGCUCGCUCCGCAGGCUCCGCUUGGCGCCGCUCACCGCCGCCGCCGUCAUCUCGCGGUAACUGGGAGGGAGUUGGUUUACUGCUGAUGGGCGGGACAGAUUAUUGAUGAAGCAAGUGACCUUCCCUUUACUAUCCGUGUCUCUUCUGUUCACCUCUGGAGAACUCAGGACUGAAAGUAAGUUGCCCUGUUCAUUAGAGGCUCAAGGCCCAACAGUAUUUUCACUGUAGAAUAACUGAAACUUGCUCCUACUCUAAAAGUGCUAUUCACAGGGAAAUAUACACAAGAUCUUAUGGUAGCUCACAGAGAAAAAAAUGUGAAAAUGAAUAUACCUAUGUUCAUGUAUAACUGAAAAAUUGUGCUCUACACUGGAAUUUGACACAACAUUGUAAAAUGAUUAUAAGUCAAUAAAAAAUGUUAAAAAUAAAAUAAAAGUGCCAUUCAGAA